rnacentral:rRNA from 1 species
AGAGUUUGAUCCUGGCUCAGGACGAACGCUGGCGGCACGCUUAACACAUGCAAGUCGAACGAGAGAAGAGGAGCUUGCUUUUCUGAUCUAGUGGCGGACGGGUGAGUAACACGUGAGCAAUCUGCCUUUCAGAGGGGGAUACCGAUUGGAAACGAUCGUUAAUACCGCAUAACAUAAUUGAACCGCAUGAUUUGAUUAUCAAAGAUUUAUCGCUGAAAGAUGAGCUCGCGUCUGAUUAGCUAGUUGGUAAGGUAACGGCUUACCAAGGCGACGAUCAGUAGCCGGCUUGAGAGAGUGAACGGCCACAUUGGGACUGAGACACGGCCCAGACUCCUACGGGAGGCAGCAGUGGGGAAUAUUGCACAAUGGAGGAAACUCUGAUGCAGCGAUGCCGCGUGAGGGAAGAAGGUUUUAGGAUUGUAAACCUCUGUCUUCAGGGACGAAAAAUGACGGUACCUGAGGAGGAAGCUCCGGCUAACUACGUGCCAGCAGCCGCGGUAAUACGUAGGGAGCGAGCGUUGUCCGGAAUUACUGGGUGUAAAGGGAGCGUAGGCGGGAUCGCAAGUCAGAUGUGAAAACUAUGGGCUUAACCCAUAAACUGCAUUUGAAACUGUGGUUCUUGAGUGAAGUAGAGGUAAGCGGAAUUCCUAGUGUAGCGGUGAAAUGCGUAGAUAUUAGGAGGAACACCAGUGGCGAAGGCGGCUUACUGGACGAUUACUGACGCUGAGGCUCGAAAGCGUGGGGAGCAAACAGGAUUAGAUACCCUGGUAGUCCACGCCGUAAACGAUGAUUACUAGGUGUGGGGGGACUGACCCCUUCCGUGCCGCAGUUAACACAAUAAGUAAUCCACCUGGGGAGUACGACCGCAAGGUUGA